rnacentral:rRNA from 1 species
UACGGGAGGCAGCAGUGGGGAAUAUUGCACAAUGGGCGAAAGCCUGAUGCAGCUAUGCCGCGUGUAUGAAGAAGGCCUUAGGGUUGUAAAGUACUUUCAUUGGGGAGGAAAAAACAAAACUAAUAAUUUUAUUUCUUGACGUUACCCGAAAAAGAAGCACCGGCUAACUCCGUGCCAGCAGCCGCGGUAAUACGGAGGGUGCUAGCGUUAAUCAGAAUUACUGGGCGUAAAGAGCACGUAGGUGGUUUUUUUAAGUCAGAUGUGAAAUCCCUGGGCUUAACCUAGGAACUGCAUUUUGAAACUGAAAUACUAGAGUAUCGUAGAGGGAGGUAGAAUUCUAGGUGUAGCGGUGAAAUGCGUAGAUAUCUGGAGGAAUACCUGUGGCGAAAGCGGCCUCCUAAACGAAUACUGACACUGAGGUGCGAAAGCGUGGGGAGCAAACAGGGAUUAGAUACC